AUUGAACGCUGGCGGCAGGCCUAACACAUGCAAGUCGAGCGAGCGAAGGACGGGUGAGUAAUGUAUGGGGACUGCCCGAUAGCGGGGGAUAACUACUGGAAAAGGUAGCUAAUACCGCAUACUAUCGGAUACCCAAUAUGGGAUUAGCUAGUAGGUGAGGUAAUGGCUCACCUAGGCGACGAUCCCUAGCUGGUCUGAGAGGAUGAUCAGCCACACUGGGACUGAGACACGGCCCAGACUCCUACGGAGGCAGCAGUGGGGAAUAUGGCACAAUGGGCGCAAGUCUGAUGCAGCCAUGCCGCGUGUAUGAAGAAGGCCCUAGGGUUGUAAAGUACUGUCAGUCGGGAGGCGUUACCGACAGAAGAAGCACCGGCUAACUCCGUGCCAGCAGCCGCGGUAAUAC
rnacentral:rRNA from 1 species